rnacentral:rRNA from 1 species
GACGAACGCUGGCGGCGUGCCUAAUACAUGCAAGUCGAACGCUUCUUUCCUCCCGAGUGCUUGCACUCCAUUGGAAAGAGGAGUGGCGGACGGGUGAGUAACACGUGGGUAACCUACCCAUCAGAGGGGGAUAACACUUGGAAACAGGUGCUAAUACCGCAUAACAGUUUAUGCCGCAUGGCAUAAGAGUGAAAGGCGCUUUCGGGUGUCGCUGAUGGAUGGACCUGCGGUGCAUUAGCUAGUUGGUGAGGUAACGGCUCACCAAGGCCACGAUGCAUAGCCGACCUGAGAGGGUGAUCGGCCACACUGGGACUGAGACACGGCCCAGACUCCUACGGGAGGCAGCAGUAGGGAAUCUUCGGCAAUGGACGAAAGUCUGACCGAGCAACGCCGCGUGAGUGAAGAAGGUUUUCGGAUCGUAAAACUCUGUUGUUAGAGAAGAACAAGGACGUUAGUAACUGAACGUCCCCUGACGGUAUCUAACCAGAAAGCCACGGCUAACUACGUG